rnacentral:rRNA from 1 species
GACGAACGCUGGCGGCGUGCUUAACACAUGCAAGUCGAACGGAAAGGCCCUGCUUUUGUGGGGUGCUCGAGUGGCGAACGGGUGAGUAACACGUGAGUAACCUGCCCUUCACUUUGGGAUAACUUCAGGAAACUGGGGCUAAUACCGGAUAGGAGCUCCUGCUGCAUGGUGGGGGUUGGAAAGUUUCGGCGGUAGGGGAUGGACGCGCGGCUUAUCAGCUUGUUGGUGGGGUAGUUGCUGACCAAGGCUUUGACGGGUAGCCGGCCUGAGAGGGGGGCCGGCCACAAUGGGACUGAGAUACGGCCCAGAGUCCUACGGGAGGCAGCAGUGGGGAAUAUUACACAGUGGGCGGAAGCCUGAUGCAGCAACGCCGCGUGCGGGAUGACGGCCUUCGGGUUGUAAACCGCUUUCGCCUGUGACGAAGCGGGAGUGACGGUAAUGGGUAAAGAAGCACCGGCUAACUACGUG